rnacentral:rRNA from 1 species
CCCAAACCGACACAGGUGGUCAGGUAGAGAAUACCAAGGCGCUUGAGAGAACUCGGGUGAAGGAACUAGGCAAAAUGGUGCCGUAACUUCGGGAGAAGGCACGCUGACACGUAGGUGAAGUGAUUUACUCAUGGAGCUGAAGUCAGUCGAAGAUACCAGCUGGCUGCAACUGUUUAUUAAAAACACAGCACUGUGCAAACACGAAAGUGGACGUAUACGGUGUGACGCCUGCCCGGUGCCGGAAGGUUAAUUGAUGGGGUCAGCGCAAGCGAAGCUCCUGAUCGAAGCCCCGGUAAACGGCGGCCGUAACUAUAACGGUCCUAAGGUAGCGAAAUUCCUUGUCGGGUAAGUUCCGACCUGCACGAAUGGCGUAAUGAUGGCCAGGCUGUCUCCACCCGAGACUCAGUGAAAUUGAACUCGCUGUGAAGAUGCAGUGUACCCGCGGCAAGACGGAAAGACCCCGUGAACCUUUACUAUAGCUUGACACUGAACAUUGAGCCUUGAUGUGUAGGAUAGGUGGGAGGCUUUGAAGUGUGGACGCCAGUCUGCAUGGAGCCGACCUUGAAAUACCACCCUUUAAUGUUUGAUGUUCUAACGUGGACCCGUAAUCCGGGUUGCGGACAGUGUCUGGUGGGUAGUUUGACUGGGGCGGUCUCCUCCUAAAGAGUAACGGAGGAGCACGAAGGUUGGCUAAUCCUGGUCGGACAUCAGGAGGUUAGUGCAAUGGCAUAAGCCAGCUUGACUGCGAGCGUGACGGCGCGAGCAGGUGCGAAAGCAGGUCAUAGUGAUCCGGUGGUUCUGAAUGGAAGGGCCAUCGCUCAACGGAUAAAAGGUACUCCGGGGAUAACAGGCUGAUACCGCCCAAGAGUUCAUAUCGACGGCGGUGUUUGGCACCUCGAUGUCGGCUCAUCACAUCCUGGGGCUGAAGUAGGUCCCAAGGGUAUGGCUGUUCGCCAUUUAAAGUGGUACGCGAGCUGGGUUUAGAACGUCGUGAGACAGUUCGGUCCCUAUCUGCCGUGGGCGCUGGAGAACUGAGGGGGGCUGCUCCUAGUACGAGAGGACCGGAGUGGACGCAUCACUGGUGUUCGGGUUGUCAUGCCAAUGGCACUGCCCGGUAGCUAAAUGCGGAAGAGAUAAGUGCUGAAAGCAUCUAAGCACGAAACUUGCCCCGAGAUGAGUUCUCCCUGAGACUUAGAGUCUCCUGAAGGAACGUUGAAGACGACGACGUUGAUAGGCCGGGUGUGUAAGCGCAGCGAUGCGUUGAGCUAACCGGUACUAAUGAACCGUGAGGCUUAACCUUACA